rnacentral:rRNA from 1 species
UGACGACCAUAGCGCUGCGGAACCACCCCUUCCCAUCCCGAACAGGACCGUGAAACGCAGCCGCGCCGAUGAUAGUGUGGCAACCCAUGCGAAAGUAGGUCAUCGUC